rnacentral:rRNA from 1 species
ACUUUGAUCCGAGGAUGUCCGAAUGGGGAAACCCCGUCAGGCGUACUUUUACGACCUGAUGACUCCCGCCUGAAUAUAUAGGGCGGGUAGAGGGAACGUGGGGAAGUGAAACAUCUCAGUACCC